rnacentral:rRNA from 1 species
UUCGGAUAAGAGGCUGAAACUCGCCUCUUUGAAGUCGGAAUCGCUAGUAAUCGCAGAUCAGCAUGUUGCGGUGAAUACGUUUCCUGGUCUUGUACACACCGCCCGUCAAACCAUGAGAGUCGCCAACACCCGAAGUCCGCUUUGCGGCCUAAGGUGGGGGAGAUGAUUGGGGUUAAGUCGUAACAAGGUACC